rnacentral:rRNA from 1 species
UACGUAGGGGGGCGAGCGUUGUCCGGAUUUAUUGGGCGUAAAGAGCGUGUAGGCGGCUUGGUAGGUCCGCUGUGAAAACUCGGGGGCUCAACCCCGAGAGGUCGGUGGAAACCAUCUGGCUAGAGUCCGGAAGAGGAGAGUGGAAUUCCUGGUGUAGCGGUGAAAUGCGCAGAUAUCAGGAAGAACACCAAUGGCGAAAGCAGCUCUCUGGGACGGUACUGACGCUGAGACGCGAAAGCGUGGGGAGCGAACAGG